AGAUCGGAGUCGUCAAAGUCGGCGCCGUCGAAGGUGUUGAAGAAGGCGGCGAAGGGGAGGGGGCCCCGGGCCUCGUUCCCGCGGCCGCCCAUGCGGUGGGAGUGGAGGAGGUCCCCUUCGUCGUCGUCGUCGAGGAAGCCGGCGCUGCGCGGGGAGUCGUCGAUGUCCAUGAGCGUGGUGAUGGCGUCGUCCUCCAUGGCGGCGGCGGAGCGCGGGGAGAGCGGGGCGGCGGCGGGGAAGUAGCGGAUAGGGUUU
rnacentral:lncRNA from 1 species